GCCGCCUUAGCUCAGUUGGUUAGAGCGCUAGAUUGUGGAUCUAGAGGUCCUUGGUUCGAUCCCAAGAGGCGGUACCA
rnacentral:tRNA from 1 species